CGCAACACGAUCCCGUUGUUGUGGGAGGGCAAUAACCUUAUUCAAAGGCAUGCCGACAUCCGGUCUCAUGUGGACGGCUUUUACGAAGCCCUCUUUGUGGCCUCCCCUAGGGGAGGCCUAGCCCUAGCUUCUAACUUCUGGUCGGCCAAUCAAUGCGUCACGACGGAGGAGAAUGCUGGCCUCACAACCCCAUUCUCUGAACAGGAGGUCUGGUUGGCCAUUAAGGGUAUGAACCCAAACUCCGUGCCGGGGCUAGAUGGCCUCCCGGCGAAGUUCUACCAAACUUUUUGGGGUGUGAUCAAAACCGAGGUGAUGGCCCUCUUUGAGGAAUUUUAUCGAGGCACGUGCGAUCUUCGCCGCCUCAACUAUGGGGUCAUCACUCUCAUCCCCAAGGUUCCUGGCGCGACGGAUAUUCGUCAAUUCCGGCCGAUCACGGUGAUUAAUGUGAUUUUCCGCAUCUUGGCAAAGGGGUACGCCAAUAGGGUGACUGAGGGAGUCCUAGACUAA
rnacentral:rRNA from 1 species